AUUGAACGCUGGCGGCAUGCCUUACACAUGCAAGUCGAACGGUAACAGGUCUUCGGAUGCUGACGAGUGGCGAACGGGUGAGUAAUACAUCGGAACGUGCCCGAUCGUGGGGGAUAACGAAGCGAAAGCUUUGCUAAUACCGCAUAAGAUCUACGGAUGAAAGCAGGGGACCGCAAGGCCUUGCGCGAACGGAGCGGCCGAUGGCAGAUUAGGUAGUUGGUGGGUUAAAAGCUUACCAAGCCGACGAUCUGUAGCUGGUCUGAGAGGACGACAAGCCACACUGGGACUGAGACACGGCCCCGACUCCUACGGGAGGCAGCAGUGGGGAAUUUUGGACAAUGGGCGAAAGCCUGAUCCUGCCAUGCCGCGUGCAGGAUGAAGGCCUUCGGGUUGGAAACUGCUUUUGUACGGAACGAAAAGACUCUGGUUAAUACCUGGGGUCCAUGACGGUACCGUAAGAAUAAGCACCGGCUAACUACGUG
rnacentral:rRNA from 1 species